rnacentral:rRNA from 1 species
AGAGUUUGAUCUUGGCUCAGGACGAACGUUGGCGGUGCGCCUAAUGCAUGCAAGUCGAACGGGCGAAGGGACUUCGGUCCCCUAGCUAGUGGCAGACGGCUGAGUAACACGUAAAUGAUCUGCCCCGAAGUGAGGGACAACCCCGAGAAAUCGGGCCUAAUACCUCGUAAGUUCAUUGGAUCACGGUCCAGUGAAGAAAGGUUUCGGCCACUUUGGGAGGAGUUUGCGGCCUAUCAGGUAGUUGGUGGGGUAAUAGCCUACCAAGCCGAAGACGGGUAACCGGUGUGAGAGCACGAUCGGUCAGAGGGGGACUGAGACACGGCCCCCACUCCUACGGGAGGCAGCAGCAGGGAAUCUUGCACAAUGGACGAAAGUCUGAUGCAGCGACACCGCGUGAGGGAAGAAGGCCUUCGGGUUGUAAACCUCUUUUAUCAGGGAAGAGUAAGGACUGUACCUGACGAAUAAGGACCGGCUAACUACGUGCCAGCAGCCGCGGUAAUACGUAGGGUUCAAACGUUGUCCGGAUUUACUGGGCGUAAAGAGCGCGUAGGCGGUUUGUUAAGUCUCAUGUGUAAUCUCCCGGCUCAACUGGGAGGGGUCAUGGGAUACUGGCAGACUUGAGGAUAGCAGAGGAAAGCGGAAUUCCCGGAGUAGUGGUGAAAUGCGUAGAUACCGGGAGGAACACCAGAGGCGAAGGCGGCUUUCUGGGCUAUUUCUGACGCUGAGGCGCGAAAGCGUGGGGAGCGAACCGGAUUAGAUACCCGGGUAGUCCACGCCCUAAACGAUGGAUACUAGAUAUGGGGGGUAUCGACCCCUCCCGUGUCGCAGCUAACGCAUUAAGUAUCCCGCCUGAGGAGUACGGCCGCAAGGCUAAAACUCAAAAGAAUUGACGGGGACCCGCACAAGCAGCGGAGCGUGUGGUUUAAUU